CCUACGGGUGGCUGCAGUGGGGAAUAUUGCACAAUGGGCGGAAGCCUGAUGCAGCGACGCCGCGUGGGGGAUGACGGCCUUCGGGUUGUAAACUCCUUUCGACAGGGACGAAGCGCAAGUGACGGUACCUGUAUAAGAAGCACCGGCUAACUACGUGCCAGCAGCCGCGGUAAUACGUAGGGUGCGAGCGUUGUCCGGAAUUACUGGGCGUAAAGAGCUCGUAGGUGGUUUGUCGCGUCGUCUGUGAAAUUCCGGGGCUUAACUCCGGGCGUGCAGGCGAUACGGGCAUAACUUGAGUGCUGUAGGGGAGACUGGAAUUCCUGGUGUAGCGGUGAAAUGCGCAGAUAUCAGGAGGAACACCGAUGGCGAAGGCAGGUCUCUGGGCAGUUACUGACGCUGAGGAGCGAAAGCAUGGGUAGCGAACAGGAUUAGAUACCCUUGUAGUC
rnacentral:rRNA from 1 species